CUGUGGGAGUUUCGUUUGAAAAUCAAGUCACGCCUUUUUUUUUUCCUCCUUUUCUUUCUCUCUCUCUCUUUUUUUUUUUUCUCCUUUCAGAAAAGGGGAACAAAGAUGAAGUGAAGCGGGGGAGAGGGGCAGCGGCAGCGCCUCGCAUGGAAGUGGGGGGGCCCGGCCCGGCACAAAGGGGCCCCAGGGACCGCGCGCCACCCCCCAGCCCAGGGGAAGCCUGGGGCGUCCUCAGGAAGGGGAGCUGGGAGGUGGGGGGCGCGGCUCCGGGUGCCGCCCAGCCGCCCCUCCCCGGCCCCGAGGUGGAGGGCUGGGUGUGUUCUGUACUCCUGUAUUUUUAAAGUAGGCAGAUGGGCUCGGGGCAGACGUCCCCGCACCGCGCCGAACUGUAAAAGAGCCUUGAAACAGCUGUUGGCAGAGCCCUGGACAGCCAGGCUCGAGGGAGCGGCGCGGGCGGCGAGCGCGCGCCCGGCCCGCGUGGGGACGGGGCUGGGGGAGCCGGGGUCGUCGUCCUCUGGUGGACCCUCCAAUCCCAGGCCCUGGGCCUGGGCCCCGCUCUCACGGCUGGGGGCGCCGAGGCGUGGCCGCUCUCCGCGCGGGGUCAGGCCCUCGCGCCUCCCUGCAGGGGUCUUGGCACAGCCUGGCCUCCCUCCAGCUCCCCGGCAGGCCGGACCCUCGGCCUCCAACCAGCAGGGCCCACCCCUCCGAGCCGCGUCUUGACUCCCAGGAGGCGCUCGGAACAGAGCCGGGCAGAGCCACCACGAAGGGUCAAUUAUUCAUGGGGCGCCUGGGCGUGCUCCCAAGACCUGCUCUGCCCUUGGCCUCUCCGGGGAAGUGGGGAGAUGACAGGGGAAAAGUUCCCAGAGCAAAGUUGGCCACAUUCCUCAUUUUCCCAAGUAAGUAUUGAGCACCUGCUGGAUGCCUGGGACUCGGACUGGGGCUGCUGCCAGGGGUUGGGGAAAAAAACGUGAGGUCUCCGUGGCGCCCCCCCCUCCCCGACUCAACCCCCCAGAGUUUCCGCAGGAAACAAUGCCGGAGAAGGCCGCGGCUUCAAGACCAUGUCAGGGAGAGGAAGGAAAGCCUGGAUCUUUCGCCUCCCGCCUCUCUUCCUUCUCUUCCUUCCUCCCGGCUGCAUCUCCUUGGCUCCGCCCCUUCUCAUCAAUUCCUCCCACACUUCCCUGCUUUCCCUGGCUUUUCACUAGAGGGUCCCUUCUCCCAGCGAGGAGCAGAUGCUGAGCCCCAUUGUCUCUCCCCCCCUCCGUGACUGCAGCCUCCCGGGACCGACCUGCUGCUCUUCACCCCUUCCCCGCCCCCCACGCCCCAGCCCGGAGGCCUGGGCCUUUGGUGACUGGAGCCCCAAGGCCACUGCCCCUCACCCCACCCUAAGCCAGCUCCUGGGGAUGACUUCCGUCACUCAGAACACGGUUUGUUUCUGACUGGGAGUGGGGAAACAGGAGCCCGAGACUUGGCUUGAGCGAGGAGGGCACCUUGGUGUGCAUGUCAGCUCAGAGAACACCCCUCUUCCUCCGUGACCCCCGAGCCUGCGCCCGCUCUGCCCUCUCACGGGGAAGCCACGUUUCUGCCGUCGUAGGUCCUUCCGCUCAGGGCACCGAAGCGGCAUCCUUCCAACAAAGCACAACGUAGCUCUGAUAGGCAAGCGUCCAUUGAACACAUGUCUCCUGAGUGUCGGCUGGGUGCGUGCUCUCGCGCUGGGCGCGGAGGACCCCCAGCGGCCCUGGCCCUCCAUCAGGCCUUGCAGACCCGGGAAGCGGAGAGCAGACAAGCAGCCACGAGGCCGGGGGAUGCACAUCCAGAGGAGCCAAGGAAGCGUCCACGCGGGUGUUCAGGGGUGGCUUUCUGGAGAAGGUUACACCGAGAUGGGAGGCCGGGGUGCGGAACACCUACGUCUCGUCUUGGUGGCCAACGUGUUAUCUCAGGGAGCUCGACUGGGGUGUGGAGAUGGGUUGCGAAGGGCUGGCCUCCUCCGUGGAGAAGCAGCCUGCCGGAAGAACAGACAGGGGUCGGAAAAGCGGGCCCCUAGGGCCCAUGCUCAAUCCACUGAGCUACACCAGCCAAGGCAUCUGGCACCUUUUCAAUUCACUGAUGUCAGCGUCCUGGGACUGGGAGGAAUGAAGGCAGGGUUUCCCCCAGGGAGGACGCACGCAGGCCACAGACCUCCCAGAAUGUUCCUCUCCAUCUCCGAAACGCGGAGGCGUGUCGUACACUGAGAACGCCGAUGAAGUACCGCUCGUCGGUGUUUCCAGGGGCGUGCUCACCGGAGGGACCGCGGGGAGGCUAGCGGGGGAUUAUUCAGACCCGCGGCUCUCCUCGACGGAUCCAGACGAACAUUUGCAGAACUAUCGGUGGCGUGGCCCUGCUUCCUGUCCGAUGUUUAGUACCACCCCUCCGCGCUGGGAUGCGCCAAGGGGAGGUGUCGGCCCCCGGGAUCGAACUGAGAGGGGGGCUGCAGAAGGCAGACGUUUCACAGACCCCCUUCCCAUUAUCCCUUCUUCAGUGGAAGGGCGCCCAGGGCUCCCUGGAGACGGCGGGGGACCUGGGGCUAAUGGCGCGUCACUGCGACCUGCAGUGGCGACCCAGUCCCACAGGAAAUGUGAGGGGCAGCGACCCUACAUUCUGAGAAGUAUGUAACAAUCUAGGAAUGAUCCAGGCUUUGGGGGGGGAACCCCGAGGAAGCCGAAGUCUGUGCGGGGUGAACAUCCGGCAUUGGCAGGUGGUUUUCCCAGCAGAAGAGACAGGGGGCGUCCACGCAGCCACCUCUAAGGACCGCCCCCUCGCCUGGGACCAAGGGUGCGUAUUGGCGCGGAUUGAUUCCCAAUGACGUCGCUGGCCUUAUUUGCAUAAAUAUAAGACUAAAAAUAACGCCCAAGGAAACGUAGGCGUGGACCGUAAACAGGAAACUGCUCACUUCGCCAGUUAAAAAACAAAUACAUACAGAAAAGCUCACUGGGACAAAGCCUUUGGAAUGUCACUGAAUGUCCGAGAUCAAGGGGAACUUAAACGUUUACAGCCUUCGGCUCCGCAACUUUAGUUCUAGAAUUCUGUGUGUAAGAAUCUGCAGGGUGGACAAAGAUGCGUGUCAAGGAUGUUUACCAGAAUGUUAUUUAUGUUGGCAAAAAUUACAAACAGAUAAAAGGAAAAGGGAAGUCAAGGAAGAAAAAAACCGAAGUAGUCACAAUGAGGAAACGGUUGAAGUAAUGGUCUGAUACUAUAUAGCUAUUAAGAAAACAUGUUUUUGAAGACUGCUUAAUGAAUUGGGGAAUGUUGGUAAUAUAUUGAGAGCAAUCCAAAAUUGCAUAUGCAACAGAACUAUAUUUUUGUGCAAUGUUGUAUACACUUGUAUAUUUAUCCCCCAAAAAUACAUGUAAAAGAAAAAGACUUAGAAAUGCAAAUAA